rnacentral:rRNA from 1 species
UACAGAGGGGGCAAGCGUUGUUCGGAAUUACUGGGCGUAAAGGGCGCGUAGGCGGCCUUCUAAGUCAGACGUGAAAUCCCCGGGCUCAACCCGGGAACUGCGUCUGAGACUGAAAGGCUCGAAUCCGGGAGAGGGAUGUGGAAUUCCAGGUGUAGCGGUGAAAUUCGUAGAUAUCUGGAGGAACACCGGUGGCGAAGGCGGCAUCCUGGACCGGUAUUGACGCUGAGGCGCGAAAGCCAGGGGAGCAAACGGG